rnacentral:rRNA from 1 species
AUUGAACGCUGGCGGCAGGCCUAACACAUGCAAGUCGAGCGAGUGGCGGACGGGUGAGUAAUGUCUGGGAAACUGCCUGAUGGAGGGGGAUAACUACUGGAAACGGUAGCUAAUACCGCAUACCAUCAGAUGUGCCCAGAUGGGAUUAGCUAGUGGGUGGGGUAAUGGCUCACCUAGGCCACGAUCCCUAGCUGGUCUGAGAGGGUGACCGGCCACACUGGAACUGAGACACGGUCCAGACUCCUACGGGAGGCAGCAGUGGGGAAUAUUCCACAAUGGGCGAAAGCCUGAUGGAGCAAUGCCGCGUGUGUGAAGAAGGUCUUCGGGUUGUAAAGUUCUGUCAUCGGGGAGGCGUUACCCACAGAGGAAGCACCGGCUAACUCCGUGCCAGCAGCCGCGGUAAUAC